GAUGAAGAACGUAGCGAAAUGCGAUAAGUAAUGUGAAUUGCAGAAUUCAGUGAAUCAUCGAAUCUUUGAACGCACAUUGCGCCCUUUGGCAUUCCGAAGGGCACACCUGUCCGAGCGCCGUCGCACAACUGAGGCGCAGCCUUGCGUUGGCGGGCGACUUGUGAGUAGCGAGUCGCCGCCCAAACGAGACGGCGCCGCGCCGCGGCCGACGAAGCACGAAAGCGGAAGUCGACGCGGAGGCGGUUGCCUGUAGGAAGACACAGCUUGGCCUCGGAUCAGGUGGGGAUACCCGCUGAACUUAAGCAUAUCAAAAGCGGAGGA
rnacentral:misc_RNA from 1 species